rnacentral:misc_RNA from 1 species
GGAACUUCAUUAUUUUAUUUUCACAUCAAUGUAAAUCAAUCAAAACCCACUGCUUAUAUUAUUUUUAAAACAGUUGUGCAAAAUUUUAAAAAGUAGUGAGAAACACAACAUACUUCGUCUAUCAUUUCCAAAUAAAACCCGUAAACAUAGCAACAAAAGAAAGCCUUAACCUUCCUUUUAAUUAUGAAACACCCAAAAAAAUCAAAACAAAAAGUUAAAGUAUGUUAGAUUCUCUCAUUAUUCACAUAAUGACAACUAAAUUAAUC